UCGCACGUGCCCAAAACCUGCAAGUUAGCUCCUGUCACGUGACUACGAGUAGAAAUGCUUGUUAGUGGCGUCCAGUCAUGCGCAAAUCCAGUUGGGAUUGGCACCAACUCAUUUUGUCCAUCUGAGCGCAAUCUAUAAACUCUUAGAGAGGUCGCACAGCUAAACGAGAUAUCAAGUCCAGCUAUCGAGCGGGUUAACCCGAGAGAGAAGCAACUGGUCGGUCGGUCAGCCGUAUAAAUACCGCGGCACCGGACUGAAGAUUUCAAAUAAAUAGUGGUCAGAGUGAAAGAAAUUUUUUACACAGGUAUAUAGCGAGGGGGAAGAAAAUGGUGGCCAACCUCCCCUUUAAAGUUGUGCGACAGCUCGAAAUGUUAAAAUGAUGACUCCGAUCAACAACUUGUUAGUCACUUCAAACACUGCUAAUAGCUUCCUCUGCGAGGCGGUCUUAACGCAGGGGCAAGGUGAGGUGAGAUUGAACGCACGAUAAACACACGCUUUUACCUAUGACGGAGCGGGCUCCGCUUUCAUAAGCGUGUCGGCCAAUUUGCCGAGAUGAGUGAUGGCCCGGGGAGGCGCUAAAUUAAAACAUACCAUGCUAUGCUGCCGUCGAGCUCUUACCUGACAAAGGCACUCGCCGUAUUUAUAUUUAUGCUGAUGGAUGGAACGGAACAGCGGACAGGUGCGGAGGGUUUGGAGAUUUGGAGAAACUUUGGGAACGAUGGCGUCUGCAAACUGACUUUGAUCAGGCUGACAAAUCCAGCUGAGCACAAGCAGGCGGCAAAGAAAGGAAGCUCUGUCUGCGGACGCGACGGGUGCAGUGUACAGUUGGGGGAUCAUCUGACAAUUGAGGUUUUCAUUACCAGGGCCUGCCGAGGUUACGUUACAAAGAACAAGGAACAUAUUUAUUAUCAAGCAGGAUUAGCCGCAAACAGCAACUUUGUUACAUUUGUAAGUAUUCUGUUGCUUUUUUUUUUCUGGACGGCUUUUCUUCUUGCUUUAAUGACUAUGACAGUUUAUUUUGGGCUAUCAUCAAACGUGUUGUAUUCUUCCAAAUAAUUGCGUAUUUUUUUCAAAUAGUUUUGUGACAGAAAAUGUUGUACUAUUGUAUUAUUUCCAAAUAUUUUCAUCUAAUAUUUCUAGUGUUUCUUUUUAUAUCCUAUACUUCAGUAAUUGUGCGACCUGAUUUUACAUUCUUCAAUAAAUAUUUUGAAUUAC